GUAAAAAUCAGUUGCUGUUAGCAACCAAUUUGUAAAUCAAUUGUAAAUUAAAAAAAAAUAAAAGAUUGAGUGAAAAUUUUUUGGAGGAAAAAUCGGUUGCCAAAUUGCUGCUGGCAACCAAUUCGCAAAUCAGUUGCAAAUCGGAAAAAGAAAAAAGAAUAGACGAGAAUUUUUUGGAAAAAAAAUUUAGCAAUCGAUUUGUAAUUAGUUGCAAAAAUCAAUUGUCAUUAACAACUGACAAUGAAUUAGUUGCAAAUAAUAACUAAUUUUAGCAAUCAAUUAUAAAUUGGUUGCUAAUUUUUGCAAUCGGUUAUUAAUUUUAGAUCCAA
rnacentral:misc_RNA from 1 species